CACGUAGGGGGCAAGCGUUGUCCGGAUUUAUUGGGCGUAAAGAGCUCGUAGGCGGCUCAGUAAGUCAGGUGUGAAACCUCCAGGCUCAACCUGGAGACGCCACCUGAUACUGCUGUGGCUAGAGUCCGGUAGGGGGAGCGUGGAAUUCCUGGUGUAGCGGUGAAAUGCGCAGAUAUCAGGAGGAACACCGGUGGCGAAGGCGGUUCUCUGGGCAUUACCUGACGCUGAGGAGCGAAAGUGUGGGGAGCGAACAGG
rnacentral:rRNA from 1 species